rnacentral:tRNA from 1 species
GGUAUGUUGGCCGAGCGGUCUAAGGCGCUGCACUCAAGUUGCAGUCUUCUUUCGAAGGCGUGAGUUCGAAUCUCACACAUACCA